rnacentral:rRNA from 1 species
AAUGAACGCUGGCGGCAUGCCUUACACAUGCAAGUCGAACGGUAACAGGUCUUCGGAUGCUGACGAGUGGCGAACGGGUGAGUAAUACAUCGGAACGUGCCCGAUCGUGGGGGAUAACGAAGCGAAAGCCUUGCUAAUACCGUAUAAGAUCUACGGAUAAAAGCAGGGGACCGCAAGGCCUUGCGCGAACGGAGCGGCCGAUGGCAGAUUAGGUAGUUGGUGGGAUAAAAGCUUACCAAGCCGACGAUCUGUAGCUGGUCUGAGAGGACGACCAGCCACACUGGGACUGAGACACGGCCCAGACUCCUACGGGAGGCAGCAGUGGGGAAUUUUGGACAAUGGGCGCAAGCCUGAUCCAGCCAUGCCGCGUGCAGGAUGAAGGCCUUCGGGUUGUAAACUGCUUUUGUACGGAACGAAAAGACUCUGGUUAAUACCUGGGGUCCAUGACGGUACCGUAAGAAUAAGCACCGGCUAACUACGUGCCAGCAGCCGCCGUAAGAC